UGCACACAUGUCUGUCAGUCGCUUUGGAUAAAAGCGUCUGCUAAAUGGCAUGUC
rfam:Salmo salar isolate Sally breed double haploid chromosome ssa28, whole genome shotgun sequence.